UUUUUUGUAGUUUCAUCAAUAUGUGGAUUCCAUGAUAGUUUUUCAUUUAUUAUAACACCUAGGUAUUUUGCAUUUUUAGUCUGUGUUACUGGUUUGCCAUGAAUAAGAUAAGUGGAAUUAAUUUGUUUUAGUUUUUUUGUUACUCUUAACAACUGACAUUUUUCUGGGUGGAAAGACAUGCUCCAAUUUGAUUCCCAUUUCUGUAAUUCAUCUAAUUCUCUUUGUAAAAUAUCUGUGUCUUGUGUUGUUUUUAUUGUUCUAUAUAUUAUGCAAUCGUCUGUAAAUAAUCUGACUUUUGUUCCUGAACUAAUGCAAUUUGGUAAAUCAUUUAUGUAAAUUAAAAAUAGUAGUGGACCCAAGACUGUUCCUUGAGGUACAUCUGAGUUUACUGUUAUCGGUGUUGAUUUAGAGCCAUUUAUUAUUACAGUUUGUUCUCUCCCUAUCAGAAAAUCUUUAAUCCACUGAUGCAGUGGACCAUUAAUGCUGAAAUAUUUUAAUUUUUUAAGCAAACUAUGGUGGUGAACUUUGUCAAAAGCCUUAGAAAAAUCUAGUAAGAUAGCAUCUAUUUGUUCACUAUUAUCUAAACCUUUUGAAAAAUCAUCAAUUAGUCCUAUUAGUUGUGUUUCACAUGAUCUAUAUUUCCUAAAGCCAUGUUGGUAUGGUGUGAGGACAUUAUGUUUGUCUAAGUGGUUUAUGAUGUUGCUACAUAUUAUGUGUUCUAGGAUUUUACAUGUGAUGCUGGUAAGUGAUACUGGUCUGUAGUUUCCUGGGUCAGAUUUUUCUCCUUUUUUAAACAGGGGGGUGACAUUAGCUUCUUUGGUACUCUGCCCUGGUUAAGUGAAGCCUGAAAGAGUAUUUUGAACACUGGGGCUAGCUCAUUACUUAGUUCUUUGAGUAAUCUAGCUGGAAUACCAUCAGGUCCAGGCGCUUUAUUUGGUUUGGUGUUGGCUAAUAGUUUUUUAAUUCCAUUUUCUUGUACUACUAUAUCUUCUAUGUUGUCUACUUGGUUCAAAUUCAGUAAUAAGUCUUUGUCUCCUGGGGCUGAGAAUGCUGAUGCAAAGUAUUUUUUUAGGAUGUUUGCUUUAGUUUCAUUAUCAUUAUGUAUUAUGUUAUGUUCAUCUUUUAAUGGCGCUAUGCCUGUUGUUUCCAUUUUCUUAGACUUAAUGUAUGACCAUAGGUUUUUGUUGUUAUCUUUAGAUAUUACAUUGUUUAUGUAUUCACUCUGCAGCUGUCUGCUUACUUUUUGGGUUAAGUGUUUAAUUUUUAUAUACUUUUUGUAAACUCUUUC